UAACGAUUAACUUAAGGGUUCU
rnacentral:siRNA from 1 species